GUACUGCUGAGGAGUCUCGAGCUAGGACGAAACAGCUGUCCAGUAC
rfam:Trichobilharzia regenti genome assembly, scaffold: TRE_scaffold0083825